AUCGGGCGGGUUGUGGCCGUCUGCCCUCAUCCACCGAGCAUCGUCGCUUCCUAAGGGAGUCCUAAAUGGCCUUCCUGCCCAUCAGGGAGUGGCUUCUCAGGAAUCGCCAAGAAGGCUUGAAAGCCUGCGUUCCCUCCCUCCUUGUUGUGGUAAUUUCCCAAGCCGGGCAGUGGUGGCGCACUCGGGAGUCUGGAGGCAGGCGAAUCUCUGUGAGUUCAAAACCAGCCUGGUCUACAAGAGCUAGUUUCCAGGACAGGCUCCAAAAGCUAUGUAUUGAGCUCCCUGUCCCCCAAAAAAGAACCUGGAGUGAGGCUGGCUGCCAGCAAGUCCUGUAAUCCUCCUGGCUUGCUCUGUGGGCGCUGGGGAUUCGAACUCAGGUCAUCAUGCUUGCACAGCAAGCACUCUCAGCCCCUGUGCUUUUCCCCCAGCCCGCAUAUUACUAUUAACAGCAAAGGUAAGCAUAUGAUUAAUUACUUUUCCUACCCUAAGAAACCUCAGUGUGGAUGGGAAGCUGACUUGCCACCCUGUGAAAUGAAAGGACUCCACUUAAAACCUGGACCUCCUGACCUGAGUUCCAGAGUUAUUUCAACAGCUUCAUGCCACAGUGGUAGGGUUUCUGAAGUUUACAAUUUGCUGCUUAUAUGGGUUUCCAGAGUGAAAUGUGGGCCAGAUGUGAUGGUACACACUUGUAAUCCUAGCACUUGGGAGGCUGAGGCAGAAGGAUUGCAGUAAGUCUGAGAAGCCUGAAAUACAUAGCAAGUUCCAGGUGAACUGGGGCCAUGGAACAAGACUGUUUCAAAAAAAAAAAAAAAAAAAAAAAAGGCAAGGCUGAAACUCAGAUGCUAGAUGCUAGGUUAAGACUCCUG